rnacentral:rRNA from 1 species
GAGGUAGUGGAGGUCCGAACACACAUCCGUUGAAAAGGGUGGUGAUGAGGUGUGGGUAGGGGAGAAAUUCCAAUCGAACCCGGAGAUAGCUGGUUCUCCUCGAAAUAGCUUUAGGGCUAGCCUCUGGUUAGUCUGCCGCAGGUAGAGCACUGAAUUUCCUAGGGGGCGUCAAAGCCUACCGAAGAAUAUCAAACUCCGAAUGGCGGACAGAUGAUGCUGGGGAGUCAGACUGCACGAGAUAAGUUGGGUGGUCAAAAGGGAAAGAGCCCAGACCUACAGCUAAGGUCCCAAAGUACGUGUUAAGUGGAAAAGGAUGUGGGAUUUCAAAGACAGCUAGGAUGUUGGCUUAGAAGCAGCCAUACAUUAAAAGAGUGCGUAAUAGCUCACUAGCCGAGAGGUCCUGCGCCGAAAAUGUCCGGGGCUAAAACACGACACCGAAGCUUAGGAAUCAGAAAUGAUUGGUAGAGGAGCAUUCUUAAAUCAUCGAAGCUGUACCGAUAAGGAGCAGUGGAGGUUUAAGAAGAGAGAAUGCCGGAAUGAGUAGCGAGAAUGAAGUGAGAAUCUUCAUGGCCGAAUAUCCAAGGUUUCCAGGGUAAAGCUGAUCUGCCCUGGGUUAGUCGGGGCCUAAGGCGAGGCUGAGAAGCGUAGCUGAUGGACAACAGGUUGAAAUUCCUGUACUGCCUUAUAACAGAACUGUGGGGACACAUGUUCAGGUCGCGAGCCGGGAAAGGAAAGCCCGGUGCAAGCAGAGGUUAUCGGUGGGAGGCAAACCCCCCACAAAAGAGAAGACUGCGAUGCGGAGCGAAGAAAAGUAGCGAAGAGCGAUGAGAAUGUGUCGAGAAAAGCCGCUAUUGUUUAUAAGGUACCCGUACCGUAAACCGACACAGGUGGAUGAGGAGAGAAUCCUAAGGCCGGCGGGAGAAGCAUUGUUAAGGAACUCGGCAAAAUGACCCCGUAACUUCGGGAGAAGGGGUGCCCACGAAAGUGGGCCGCAGAGAAUAGGCUCAAGCAACUGUUUAGCAAAAACACAGGUCUAUGCAAAACCGAAAGGUGAGGUAUAUGGGCUGACGCCUGCCCGGUGCUGGAAGGUUAAGAGGAGAGGUUAACGAAAGUGAAGCUUUGAAUUUAAGCCCCAGUAAACGGCGGCCGUAACUAUAACGGUCCUAAGGUAGCGAAAUUCCUUGUCGGGUAAGUUCCGACCCGCACGAAAGGCGUAAUGAUUUGAGCACUGUCUCGACAAUGCAUCCGGUGAAAUUGAAGUACCAGUGAAGAUGCUGGUUACCUGCGCCAGGACGGAAAGACCCCAUGGAGCUUUACUCUAGUUUGGUACUGGGGUCCGGUAUUGCAUGUACAGGAUAGGUGGGAGACUGAGAAGUGUGAACGCCAGUUUGCACGGAGUCAUUGUUGGGAUACCACCCCUGCAGUAUUGGGCUUCUAACAGGUAGCCGUAAACCGGCUAAUGGACAAUGCCAGGCGGGGAGUUUGACUGGGGCGGUCGCCUCCGAAAGGGUAUCGGAGGCGCUCAAAGGUUCCCUCAGAAUGGUUGGAAACCAUUCGAAGAGUGCAAAGGCAGAAGGGAGCUUGACUGCGAGACUGACGGGUCGAGCAGGUACGAAAGUAGGACUUAGUGAUCCGGUGGCAUAAAGUGGGAUUGCCAUCGCUCAACGGAUAAAAGCUACCCUGGGGAUAACAGGCUUAUCACUCCCAAGAGUUCACAUCGACGGAGUGGUUUGGCACCUCGAUGUCGGCUCAUCGCAUCCUGGGGCUGUAGCAGGUCCCAAGGGUUGGGCUGUUCGCCCAUUAAAGCGGUACGCGAGCUGGGUUCAGAACGUCGUGAGACAGUUCGGUCCCUAUCCGGCGUGGGCGGAGGAUAUUUGAGAGGAGCUGUCCUUAGUACGAGAGGACCGGGAUGGACGAACCUCUGGUGUAUCGGUUGGAUUGCCAAAUCCAUGGCCGAGUAGCCAAGUUUGGAAGGGAUAAACGCUGAAGGCAUCUAAGCGUGAAGCCCCCCUCAAGAUGAGAUAUCCCUGCGUAUGCAGUAAGACCCCUUGAAGACUACGAGGUAGAUAGGUCAGAGGUGGAAGUGCAGUAAUGCAUGUAGCUGACUGAUACUAAUAGGUCGAGGGCUUGACCAA